rnacentral:rRNA from 1 species
GGGAGGCAGCAGUGGGGAAUAUUGCACAAUGGGCGAAAGCCUGAUGCAGCGACGCCGCGUGCGGGAUGACGGCCUUCGGGUUGUAAACCGCUUUUGAUUGGGAGCAAGCGAGAGUGAGUGUACCUUUCGAAUAAGCACCGGCUAACUACGUGCCAGCAGCCGCGGUAAUACGUAGGGUGCAAGCGUUAUCCGGAUUUAUUGGGCGUAAAGAGCUCGUAGGCGGUUCGUCGCGUCUGGUGUGAAAGUCCAUCGCUUAACGGUGGAUCGGCGCCGGGUACGGGCGGACUGGAGUGCGGUAGGGGAGACUGGAAUUCCCGGUGUAACGGUGGAAUGUGUAGAUAUCGGGAAGAACACCGAUGGCGAAGGCAGGUCUCUGGGCCGUCACUGACGCUGAGGAGCGAAAGCGUGGGGAGCGAACAGGAUUAGAUACCCUGGUAGUCCACGCCGUAAACGGUGGAUGCUGGAUGUGGGGCCCGUUCCACGGGUUCCGUGUCGGAGCUAACGCGUUAAGCAUCCCGCCUGGGGAGUACGGCCGCAAGGCUAAAACUCAAAGAAAUUGACGGGGGCCCGCACAAGCGGCGGAGCAUGCGGAUUAAUUCGAUGCAACGCGAAGAACCUUACCUGGGCUUGACAUGUGCCGGACGGCCGCGGAGACGCGGCUUCCCUUCGGGGCCGGUUCACAGGUGGUGCAUGGUCGUCGUCAGCUCGUGUCGUGAGAUGUUGGGUCAAGUCCCGCAACGAGCGCAACCCUCGCCUCGUGUUGCCAGCACGUCAUGGUGGGAACUCACGGGGGACCGCCGGGGUUAACCCGGAGGAAGGUGGGGAUGACGUCAGAUCAUCAUGCCCCCUUAC